UUAAGCAUAUCAAUAAGCGGAGGAAAAGAAACUAACAAGGAUUYCCCUAGUAACGGCGAGUGAAGCGGGAAGAGCUCAAAUUUGAAAUCUGGUAGACUCAGUCUAUCCGAGUUGUAAUCUAUAGAAGCAGUUUCCGUGCUGGCCCAUGUACAAGUCCCUUGGAACAGGGCGUCAUAGAGGGUGAGAAUCCCGUUCUUGACAUGGACUACCAGUGCUUUGUGAUCUGUUUUCAACGAGUCGAGUUGUUUGGGAAUGCAGCUCAAAAUGGGUGGUAAAUUCCAUCUAAAGCUAAAUAUUGGCGAGAGACCGAUAGCGAACAAGUACCGUGAGGGAAAGAUGAAAAGCACUUUGGAAAGAGAGUUAAACAGUAUGUGAAAUUGUUGAAAGGGAAACGAUUGAAGUCAGUCAUGUCUAUUGGACUCAGCCGGUUCUGCCGGUGUAUUUCCUUUAGAUGGGGUCAACAUCAGUUUUGACCGCUGGAUAAAGGUUUGAAGAAUGUAGCACUCUCGGGUGAACUUAUAGCUUCUUGUCAUAUACAGUGGUUGGGACUGAGGAACGCAGCAUGCCUUUAUGGCCGGGAUUCGUCCACGUACAUGCUUAGGAUGUUGACAUAAUGGCUUUAAACGACCCGUC
rnacentral:rRNA from 1 species